rnacentral:rRNA from 1 species
AUACGUAGGGUGCAAGCGUUAAUCGGAAUUACUGGGCGUAAAGCGUGCGCAGGCGGUUCGGAAAGAAAGAUGUGAAAUCCCAGAGCUUAACUUUGGAAUGGCAUUUUUAACUACCGGGCUAGAGUAUGUCAGAGGGGGGUAGAAUUCCACGUGUAGCAGUGGAAUGCGUAGAGAUGUGGAGGAAUACCGAUGGCGAAGGCAGCCCCCUGGGAUAAUACCGACGCUCAUGCACGAAAGCGUGGGGAGCAAACAGGAUUAGAUACCCUGGUAGUCCACGCCCUAAACGAUGUCAACUAGCUGUUGGGGCCUUCGGGCCUUAGUAGCGCAGCUAACGCGUGAAGUUGACCGCCUGGGGAGUACGGUCGCAAGACUGAA